CUUGGAAAACUUACCUUUGUCUCUCCACCACCCACCCCCGUCCGCACGAGGAAGAGGACCCUCUUCUCCUCCCGUCCCGACCCGGAGCUCCUCCGCCGCCGCCGACGCCUGACGCGCGCCGCCGCUCCCCUUCCCGUCGCGUCCCUCCCUCCCUCCGCAAUCUCCUGGACCCCGGUUUUCGAGAUUUCAUCAUGCUUUCCUUGAGGUGUUGGGCGCCCGCAUUCGGUAUAGCGUUCGAGAGAGCCGUCGUUCUGCGCCCUCGAAAGUUCAACUCCUUAGUGGUUUGCGGUGCCAGGGGUCCGAGACCGAGAUAUCCUCGCGUGUGGAAAACUGACAAGAGAAUCGGAACCGUUUCCAAGUCGCAGAAGCUUGUCAAAUGUAUUAAGGGUUUGUCUAAUGUAAAGGAGGAGGUUUAUGGUGCUCUUGAUUCAUUCGUUGCAUGGGAACUGGAGUUUCCCUUGAUAGCAGUAAAGAAAGCACUGAAGACGCUUGAGGAUGAGAAGGAAUGGAAAAGAAUAAUUCAGGUUAUCAAGUGGAUGUUCAAUAAAGGUCAAGGGAAGACCAUGGGAAGCUAUCAAACUUUAUUAAACGCUUUAGUCGAGGAUGGACGAAUUGAGGAAGCAGAAGAGCUAUUUCAAAAGAUAUUCUUGAGAUAUAUGGAGGGUUUGCCACGUGUUUUUUUCAUGAAAAUAAUCUCCUUAUAUUACAGAUUGGGGUCAUAUGAGAAGAUGUUUGAGGUUUUUGCUGAUAUGGAAGAGCUGGGUGUUCGACCUGAUACCUCGAUUGUCAGGAUGCUCGGUGAUGUAUUUAUGAAGCUAGAGAUGCUGGACAAAUACGAAAAGUUAAAUAGGAAAUAUCCACCGCCAAAAUUUGAAUAUCGAUACAUCAAAGGCAAGCGCAUAAGGAUAAGGGUUUAUCCAGACGAUAGUACUGAAGAAGUAACAAAAAGAGACUCUGACAGAGAUGAACUGGAAGAUGCAGGAAGCAUGAAUCUUGACAAUGAAUUGAAAGAAGCGCCAAGAACAGUCCUGGACAUGAAUGUAUUAGGCAAUGCGGCUUCUGGAGACCAUGAAUUUGUAUAGCUCAGAACUUUAAUUUGGCGUUUUCAUGUCUGCUUCAUCAUAGCAGGUAAGCUACCACGUAAACAGAUCACAACGCAAGUCUCCGCUGAUUCCGCCCACCCCUGGCCGCAAACAGAUUACGUUACAGCUUCGUUCUUGUCGAGCUGCACAUCGAGAUCGAUCCAUCCGCCCUCGGUGGCUCGGUCCCCUCUGCGACGACUCCGCCCCCUAUCUUGUACAUCCAGGCGAACGGCGGCGCUGGUCUUGCGCCAUACCUCGAUCAACUCUGCUUCAUGAGCAGGCUGGCGGCGGCGCCAUGAGAGGAGCAGCGCGGCGGCGGCGCUGGUGGUCGCGCCAUUAGAGGUCUCCCAGCUAUCACUGCAGGCCUCACCAGCAGGUCUCCCAGCUGCUGGAGGCAUGCAUUCCCUUAGCCAUCAUCAGCGGAGGCGCAAGAUGGUGCCGGAUUGGCGGCGUCGAAGACGAUAAUAUAGCCGAUGGGAAUGAUUACGGUUACAGUUCACAUCCAAACAAAGUUCCAUUUUUUUCCAUUUCCUUUACAGUACCAGUGUGACCUGAUUCCGUUUACGUUUGCGUUACCUUUGGUGAACCAAACACCUCCAGAUUGUGAUGAUGGUAUGGAACUUUGUUCAUAUUUUCGAUGCCUAUAACAUGGCGUGCUUCUGCAUUUUUCA